UUCAGCCUCUAAAAAGAAGGAAAUCCUGUUCUUUGCAACAUGGGUGGACCUAGAGGACAUUAGGGCAGGUGGCAUCUCUACUUAACCAUGAGGGAACAGAGGCUCAGCCAGCAUGUUGAGACACCAGAAUUCAAAAGCCCAGUAUCCUCCCAGGACUCCAUUAAAGCAGAUGUGCAGAAGGCAGUACGGCCGGAGCACAACCAAUGCCCCUGGGGGAGGCCCACGGGACCGUUAGGAAAAUAAGACAGGCACAGGAAAGAGAUGUCCAGCGUCUGAAGACAAAGCCACAAUGAAAGCCACCAUUCUGGGGUUGGGAAGGUAAAGAACUUCAAACCAGAUAAAUGAAGACUGCAGAAGAAAGAGGAAGAAAUGGAAGUUGCUCUCUGACAGGACAACAUGAAUUUGGCAAGGGGUGGAUUAGGCCGAGUGCUAUCCACGGUGAUGAAACACAGCAGCCGGUAGUCAUGAAAUAUUUAUGAAUGGGGAGAGGAUGCUGCAUUCUGCAGUGCAGCACAGGGGAAACCGAAGUUUCAAGAAUACUGUAAUAGCAAAACCCUCCAUUAAUUAUCGGAAGCAAGCUGUAAUGCCAGUUCCUAUGGCAACAGGGUCCCCAAUGGAUUUUGUGCUUUUUUUUUUUUAAGCUGCUCCCAUUUACUAUGGUACAUUGCAUUUAUUUUCUAUCGGAGGUUUUGUGCUUGUCUUCUGCAAAUGAAUUCAUCCUGUCCUCACAGUGGCUGGUGUGGAGACCGACAGGCUGGGGCCUGGGGAAGGUUAAAGAUUAUGCAACUUUGAGCUAAAUGCUCUGUAAGCACAUUGAUGACUGCUAUGAGCACCUUCACUUCUGAGGGGAAAAGGAGGGGAGGGCAGGAAAGAGGUGUGGAAGGGAAUAACUAGGGUGCAUGGCUAAUUAGAGGGCAUCUAUCCCAGCCCCCACACGCAUGGUCUUUGGAAUCCAGGCUUGCACCAGGGAAGAGUCCUUGAACCCAGCUGGGCUCUCCAACAACGUGCCUGCUGCAGCUGCAGUGGAAGCUGAUAAUUGCUCAGAAAGCUCAGACACAGAGUCCUCUGGGGUAAGGGUGCUGGAGAGAACAGUGGCUUGGUUCCCAGAGGAGCAGGCUGCCCCUCCCAGAGAAGCACUCCACCUGUAGGCCCAAUCUCUCUGCACCGCCCCCCCCCCCCACAUUGCUUAUCAGCUCCCCCUCAGUGUGAAGUGGGAGUUUAAUCUGGUGGCCCUUUGAAUGCGGGUCUUCCAGGGGAGAUGUUCUGUGUUUGCCUGGCCAUGGGCUGCUGUUCACAGAAACAUUCUGUCCCAGGCCACAGGAGCGCCUCAGAGCCACCCUGGGGUGUGGGCGAAGCGGUCAACAGCGGCUUCCUCCAUCCUUCCCCGGAUGAAUGACUGACAAGUUGAUGGCGGAGCACCCCGCCGCUCACUCAGGAAGAGGCUGCCUCCAGGUGGGGAGCUUGUACGUUUCCCUCUCAGGGCUGCAGCUGUGGCUUGGGAGGUGUCCUGUCUUUUUGGUGGCCUCAUGAGGGCUGUGUGAGUCCUGAUAAAUGGCAUAGGAUGGGGAGUCCCCUUAAUGGGGGACAGUACAGGUCUCCUGUCCGUGGGGCUAUUCCAGGUUAAAAAUAGAUUCUACCGCUGCAGAAUGAUUAUGCUGGCUCUACUGUGCUUUCUAAGUCACCAAAGGGACUCACAAGCAUGUGUGAGUAGAACUGGGAGGAUGCCAGAAGAGGGAUGAAAUAAAAAUUGUGUACGUAUAUGUUUCUUUUUGUGGAAUUCUACCUGGAGCCAUAGGAGUACGACUUACCACUCAAGAGAAAGGCUGUGCCCAGAGCCAAGGAGGAGCUGUGGAGACGUUUCUCCCAAGUCAUCCGUUCUCCCUAUUUAGACUUCAACCUUAGGACGGACCUUCAGGCAUCCAGGCCACCUACUGACCUCUCUGGCAUGGGUGGGAACCGGGAGCUCGUUGGUAAGCAGGAGGAUUCAGGACUAUCGAGCGAACACCACUUCCUCCGUGGCACGCACCGCGCUGUGUCUUUGGGCUCAUCAUCUCAUCACCUCUGCACAGGAAGAUUAUCUCCCCCACUUCGUGAUGAGGAAACGGAGGCUCCAGGAGGCAAGUCAUUGCCCAGGCCACACUGCUCCUCAGAGGCAGAGCUGAGAUCAGAACUCACUUCUGUCUGACCCCAAAGCCUGUGCCAAACGCCUUGCUCGCUGGCCUCUUGCAGGGAAGGGCAGUGUCCCAUUGCAGCCAGGCCCCAGCACAAUACCAGGCUCUGCAGGCCCUGCAUCACUUUCCCAAGGCCCAAAGGGGGCACACCACAAAAUGCUGGGGGUGUAGGAAGAAGAUAUCAGAAAUUCUAGUUAUGAUUUCCUCUUAUCCUAGUAAAAUACCAACUUCUAUGUCUGUGUUGUGAUGCAUUUAUGAGCUCAGCAGCACAUUUAUAGAAUUUAUAAAUCAAUAAACCUUCACAUUGUGGAA